rnacentral:rRNA from 1 species
GAGUUUGAUCAUGGCUCAGAUUGAACGCUGGCGGCAUGCCUUACACAUGCAAGUCGAACGGCAGGCACGGGAGCUUGCUCCUGGUGGCGAGUGGCGAACGGGUGAGUAAUGCAUCGGAACGUAUCCUGGAGUGGGGGAUAACGUAGCGAAAGUUACGCUAAUACCGCAUAUUCUGUGAGCAGGAAAGCGGGGGACCUUCGGGCCUCGCGCUCUU